rnacentral:rRNA from 1 species
UGCAGUCGAACGCUGAAGCCGACAGCUUGCUGUUGGUGGAUGAGUGGCGAACGGGUGAGUAACACGUGAGUAACCUGCCCCUGAUUUCGGGAUAAGCCUGGGAAACUGGGUCUAAUACCGGAUAUGACCAAUCCUUGCAUGAGGGUUGGUGGAAAGUUUUUCGAUCGGGGAUGGGCUCGCGGCCUAUCAGCUUGUUGGUGGGGUAAUGGCCUACCAAGGCGACGACGGGUAGCCGGCCUGAGAGGGCGACCGGCCACACUGGGACUGAGACACGGCCCAGACUCCUACGGGAGGCAGCAGUGGGGAAUAUUGCACAAUGGGGGAAACCCUGAUGCAGCGACGCAGCGUGCGGGAUGACGGCCUUCGGGUUGUAAACCGCUUUCAGCAGGGAAGAAGCGAAAGUGACGGUACCUGCAGAAGAAGUACCGGCUAACUACGUGCCAGCAGCCGCGGUAAUACGUAGGGUACGAGCGUUGUCCGGAAUUAUUGGGCGUAAAGAGCUCGUAGGUGGUUGGUCACGUCUGCUGUGGAAACGCAACGCUUAACGUUGCGCGUGCAGUGGGUACGGGCUGACUAGAGUGCAGUAGGGGAGUCUGGAAUUCCUGGUGUAGCGGUGAAAUGCGCAGAUAUCAGGAGGAACACCGGUGGCGAAGGCGGGACUCUGGGCUGUAACUGACACUGAGGAGCGAAAGCAU